rnacentral:pre_miRNA from 1 species
AUGAUACUCCCUCUGUCCCAAAAUUCUUGUCUUGAAUUUAUCUAAAUACGGAUGUAUCAAGUCACGUUUUAGUAUUAGAUACAUCCGUAUCUAGGCAAAUCUAAGACAAGAAUUUUGGGACGGAGGGAGUAAUUA